rnacentral:rRNA from 1 species
AUUGAACGCUGGCGGCAGGCUUAACACAUGCAAGUCGAGCGAGCGGCGGACGGGUGAGUACUGUCUGGGAAACUGCCUGAUGGAGGGGGAUAACUACUGGAAACGGUAGCUAAUACCGCAUACCAUCAAAUGUACCCAGAUGGGAUUAGCUAGUAGGUGGGGUAAUGGCUCACCUAGGCGACGGUCCCUAGCUGGUCUGCGAGGAUGACCAGCAACACUGGAACUGAGCAACGGUCCAGACUCCUACGGUAGGACGCAGGGGGGAAUAUUGCACAAUGGGGGCAAGCCGGAUGCAGCCAUGCCGCGUGUAGGAAGAAGGCCGUCGGGUUGUAAAGCACUUUCAGCGGGGAGGCGUUACUCGCAGAAGAAGCACCGGCUAACUACGUGCCAGCAGCCGCGGUAAUAC